UACAGAGGCCUCGAGCGUUAGGCGGAAUUACUGGGCGUAAAGCGCACGUAGGCGGGUUUGUAAGUAGAGGGUGAAAUCCCAGGGCUCAACCCUGGAACUGCCUUCUAGACUGCAAGCCUGGAGGUCAGGAGAGGCGAGUGGAAUACCGAGUGUAGAGGUGAAAUUCGUAGAUAUUCGGUGGAACACCAGUGGCGAAGGCGACUCGCUGGACUGAUACUGACGCUGAGGUGCGAAAGCGUGGGGAGCAAACAGG
rnacentral:rRNA from 1 species